rnacentral:rRNA from 1 species
CCUACGGGAGGCAGCAGUAAGGAAUAUUGGACAAUGGGCGCAAGCCUGAUCCAGCCAUGCCGCGUGCGUGAAGAAGGUCUUCAGAUUGUAAAGUACUUUAAGUUGGGAGGAAGGGCAGUAAGCGAAUACCUUGCUGUUUUGACGUUACCGACAGAAUAAGCACCGGCUAACUCUGUGCCAGCAGCCGCGGUAAU